rnacentral:lncRNA from 1 species
GUUAGUGACCUUUGCCCCAACCACCUUCUAUGUAGUAGGUGCUUGCUACCCUGCUUUCUAUCUCCUACUCUCUGGGACUGCGUUUUCCCCAGCUCUUUGCACGGCCCACCACCUUCCACCUUCUGGGAUCUGUGAGUUGCUUCGUCAUCCUCAAGAACCCAUACGAAAGAGGAAGUUGUAAAAAGUUUUCUUUGGUGGGGGUUGAUUUUUUUUCCACUGAGGAAGAUUAGCCCUGAGUUAAUAUCUCUUGUCAGUUUUCCUCUUUUUGCUGGGGAAGAUUCACCCUGAGACAACAUCUGUUGCCAAUCUUCCUCUUUUUUGUGGGGGGGUAUGUGAGCUGCUGCCACAGCAUGGCUACCAACGAGAGGUGUAGUUCCGCGCUGGAAACCAGGUCCUGGCCACUGAUGUGGAGGGUGCAGAACUUAACCACCAGGCCGCUGGGGCUGGCCUGGGGGUUGAUUGUGAAGAGCAAAGAACAGUUUGGGAAAGACACAAUGGCUUUAAAAGAUCUCAAUUAAUGAGAGUUUUGGAGGCCUAAAUGGGUGGCCCUAUGAAAUCAGUCAAACAAGUGGCAAAGAAAUUGGACUCAGAUUUAGCAGUUAUUCCUGGAAAGAGGGCCUUACAUUUGCAUAUACGAGUGGUGGUGUGCACAAGUGUUUUAACAAUCGUUUUGAAUAGGAAUCUCACAUUGAUACUGUGAAGGUCACAAAUAUACACCUAGAGGAUGCAUUUUAAAAAUGUCCUAAUGCCACAUGAAUGCAUUACUAUCAUUUGUCAAGAAUAUCAAGAUUCAAAAAGGCCUGUCUCUCCUUCUGCUUGUUGGAAGAGAGAUGCUGGAUCAUGGAAAGCCGGCUUAGAAGAUUCAAAAACUGGCUUGAAGAUGAGAAAAACACUGAUGUUGGCGAUGCCUGUGAAGUGUUGUAAAAAAAGCUUUUUGAAACUUGAAAGUGGAAAAGAGCAUUACUUAUCUAUUACUCAUAUGUAAAUAUAUAGUUGUAUCUAAACAAGUAAAUUAAAUAUUUUAAGUGCAUGUUUCAUUUCCCUAAAGUUUAUAUAAGCAGGACAACCCCAACGAAUUUUCAUUUUCUCCCUGGGAAAUAUUU